UACGUAGGGAGCAAGCGUUUGUCCGGAAUCAUUGGGCGUAAAGCGCGCGUAGGUGGCUUCGUAAGUCCGUUGUGAAAGUCAAAGGCUCAACCUUUGAAAGCCGAUGGAUACUGUGGAGCUAGAGUACGGAAGAGGCGAGUGGAAUUCCUGGUGUAGCGGUGGAAUGCGCAGAUAUCAGGAGGAACACCAAUAGCGAAGGCAGCUCGCUGGGACGUUACUGACACUGAGGCGCGAAAGCGUGGGGAGCGAACAGG
rnacentral:rRNA from 1 species